rnacentral:rRNA from 1 species
CCAAUAGCGUAUAUUAAAGUUGUUGCAGUUAAAAAGCUCGUAGUUGAAUUUCGGGGUUCCACCGUUGGUCGGGCUAUUGUCUGUACUGGUGUGUGGAAUUUCUACCUUCUGGGGAACUAUCAUGUUAUUAAUUUAGCGUGGUAGGAAACCAGGACCUUUACCUUGAAAAAAUUAGAGUGUUCAAAGCAGGCUUAUGUCUGAAUACAUUAGCAUGGAAUAAUAAAAUAGGACGGUGGUCCUGUUUUGUUGGUUUCUGAAUCACCGUAAUGAUUAAUAGGGAUAGUUGGGGGCAUUAGUAUUCAAUUGUCAGAGGUGAAAUUCUUGGAUUUAUUGAAGACUAACUACUGCGAAAGCAUUUGCCAAGGAUGUUUUCAUUAAUCAAGAACGAAAGUUAGGGGAUCGAAGACGAUCAGAUACCGUCGUAGUCUUAACCAUAAACUAUGCCGACUAGGGAUCGGACGAUGUUAACUUUUCUUGACUCGUUCGGCGCCUUACG